UACGUAGGGUGCGAGCGUUGUCCGGAAUUAUUGGGCGUAAAGGGCUCGUAGGCGGUUUGUCGCGUCGGGAGUGAAAACCCAGGGCUUAACCCUGGGCUGGCUUCCGAUACGGGCAGACUAGAGGUAUGCAGGGGGAGAACGGAAUUCCUGGUGUAGCGGGUGAAAUGCGCAGAUAUCAGGAAGAACACCCGUGGCGAAGGCGGCUCUCUGGGACGGUACUGACGCUGAGACGCGAAAGCGUGGGGAGCGAACAGG
rnacentral:rRNA from 1 species